UUUUAUGGAGAGUUUGAUCCUGGCUCAGGAUGAACGCUGGCGGCGUGCCUAAUACAUGCAAGUCGAGCGAACAGACGAGGAGCUUGCUCCUCUGACGUUAGCGGCGGACGGGUGAGUAACACGUGGAUAACCUACCUAUAAGACUGGGAUAACUUCGGGAAACCGGAGCUAAUACCGGAUAACAUGUUGAACCGCAUGGUUCAACAGUGAAAGACGGUCUUGCUGUCACUUAUAGAUGGAUCCGCGCCGCAUUAGCUAGUUGGUAAGGUAACGGCUUACCAAGGCAACGAUGCGUAGCCGACCUGAGAGGGUGAUCGGCCACACUGGAACUGAGACACGGUCCAGACUCCUACGGGAGGCAGCAGUAGGGAAUCUUCCGCAAUGGGCGAAAGCCUGACGGAGCAACGCCGCGUGAGUGAAGAAGGUCUUCGGAUCGUAAAACUCUGUUAUUAGGGAAGAACAAAUGUGUAAGUAACUAUGCACGUCUUGACGGUACCUAAUCAGAAAGCCACGGCUAACUACGUGCCAGCAGCCGCGGUAAUACGUAGGUGGCAAGCGUUAUCCGGAAUUAUUGGGCGUAAAGCGCGCGUAGGCGGUUUUUUAAGUCUGAUGUGAAAGCCCACGGCUCAACCGUGGAGGGUCAUUGGAAACUGGAAAACUUGAGUGCAGAAGAGGAAAGUGGAAUUCCAUGUGUAGCGGUGAAAUGCGCAGAGAUAUGGAGGAACACCAGUGGCGAAGGCGACUUUCUGGUCUGUAACUGACGCUGAUGUGCGAAAGCGUGGGGAUCAAACAGGAUUAGAUACCCUGGUAGUCCACGCCGUAAACGAUGAGUGCUAAGUGUUAGG
rnacentral:rRNA from 1 species